rnacentral:rRNA from 1 species
UGCAAGUCGAGCGGGGACGGUAGCUUGGUUCCUGACCUACCGGGGGACGGGUGAGUAAUGCUUAUGAAUCUGCCGAUUCUUGGGGGAGGAUAUUCCCAAAGGAAUGCUAAUACCGCAUACGCCCUACGGGGGAAAGCAGGGGAUCUUCUGACCUUGCUCUCAGUUGGGGAUGGGCUCAGAUUAUCUAGUUGGUGGGGUAAAGGCCUACCUCGGCGAGCUCUGUAGGGGUCUGGCCUGAUGAUCCGACACGCUGGGACUGAAACACGGCCCAGACUCCAACCGGAGGCAACGCUGGGGAAUAUAGGACAAUGGGCGAAAGCCUGAUCCAACCAUGCCGCGUGUGUGAAGAAAGCCUUUUGGUUGUAUUGCACUUUACUCUAGGAGGAGGCUACCGAGAUUAAUACUCUUGGAUAGUGGACGUUACUCGCACAAUAAGCACCGGCUAACUCUGUGCCAUCAGCCGCGGUAAUACUCAGGGUGCAAGCGUUAAUCGGAUUUACUGGGCGUAAAGCCUGCUUAGGCGGCUUUUUAAGUCGGAUGUGAACUCCCUGACCUUAACUUCGGAAUUGCAUUCGAUACUGGGAAGCUAUAGUAUGUGAGAGGAUGGUAGAAUUCCGCGUGUAUCGGUGAAAUGCGUAGAGAUCUGGAGGAAUACCGAUGGCGAAUGCAUCCAUCUGACCUAAUACUGACUCUGAAGUACGAAAGCAUGGAGAGCAAACAAGACUACAUACCCUGGUAGUCCAUGCCGUAAACGAUGUCUACCCACCCGAUUGGGGUCCUUUUGAGGCUAUUACAUUGACAGCAGCUCAACGCUGAUGAAGUACACGCCGCCUGGGGCAGUUAACUGUUCCAGACAGAGACUAAACACGUUCAACACUCGAAAUCU